AUGAACAGAUUCAACUUUUGGAGAGUUCACACCACAGUUACCUGUACAUGCAGUAUUAUACUGUAAAUAUAAAUCUCUGCAUUUAGCAUCCGACUAGAAGAGUCACAGUUACUGCCUCUUUUUUUUUUUUUACAAAUACCUGUACUAUUACUAACACAUUUACUGUUUUACUUUUAGCCUGUGGAUACAAAUGCAGAUGUCCUUAAUGUAAGUUGUGCAUUUUUAUUACAUCAUAUUAUUUUUAUUAUUAUUUAUUUAUUUUAUUUUACAUUCAAAUAUCUCAAGCUUCUUAGUUAAAUAAGCUUGAUUGCUAGUAGAUAAAGAAUAGUUCACCUAUAAUUGAUAUUCCCAAUUAAUUUCUCACCUCUGAUUGAAUGCCUUUGUUUGUUGGCCUUUCUUGACCAUAACAAGACAUUUUUGCAGUAUAUAUAUGGUGAAUUUAUAUGCAUAGAUACAGUCGUAGUGCUUGACUCAUGCACAGAGCAGUAGAUGGACUAGGAGGGAAAUAAUUACAAUCAUGAUGUUGAUUGCUGAUGUCAGUAUAUAUAUUUUAGAGGAAUGUUUUGUUUUUCACCCAAAAUGAACUAUAUUGCUUCAGAAGAGGUUUAUUACCCUACCAGAUUCUUAUAUAUUGUUCUGUUUUUUGUUUGUUUGUUUGUUUUUGUUGUUUUCAGGUUCAGGUUUUGAGCACAGCAAUUUAAAAGGUAAACAGCUUUGAAAGUCAGUUCAAAUGGUUAGCUAAUAGUAUUUUAAAAAGCCUACUUCUCUGUCACCAGUUUCUUUACCAAAAAGUACCCAUAAAAGUAGCUCUCCAUAGCAUAUCAUUGUAGUUCAAAUGUUUAGUUGAACAAAUAUCAGAUUUUUGGAAAUCUAAAACUAGUCAGACACUCAAAUGUUCAUGCUUUUUAUAGGAGGACAGAGCAAAACGGACAUCGGCACAGAGUGAAGAACUGCCCUUGAUAAGGACACUAUGACAGCCAUAUAUAUGGCGGUAAGGAAGAGGUUUCCCAAUGUGUCCAGAGGGGCUUUGGGGAUUGCAGUGAAUUCGAAGCUGGGGGAACUGAGACUGCUGGAAAAG